rnacentral:tRNA from 1 species
GCGUUGGUGGUCCAAGGAAAGACGCCUCACUUCCCGUGAGGAAAUGCAGGUGCAAGGCCUGCCCAGCGCUC